rnacentral:misc_RNA from 3 species
CAACCCUUAAGCCUAGCUUAGUGUUGGGAGUCUACCCUGUGGCUACCCUGUAGCUACCCUGUAGUUCCUUAAAUCGAACGGCAGAGCGGUGGUGUCCUCUGAGCGUAGUAGCUUAUAUCUCGCUUUUGUAGGUGCCACGGUUCCCGCCGUAAAAACACCCCAAUCUAGAAGU